rnacentral:tRNA from 1 species
GCGCGAAUGGUGUAGAGGUCAACAUGUCUGUCUUCCAAACAGAGGUCUCCGGUUCGAAUCCGGGUUUGCGCU